UACGUAGGGUGCAAGCGUUAUCCGGAAUUAUUGGGCGUAAAGAGCUCGUAGGCGGUCUGUCGCGUCUGCUGUGAAAUCUGGGGGGCUCAACCCCCCAGCCUGCAGUGGGUACGGGCAGACUAGAGUGCGGUAGGGGAGAUUGGAACUCCUGGUGUAGCGGUGGAAUGCGCAGAUAUCAGGAAGAACACCGAUGGCGAAGGCAGAUCUCUGGGCCGUAACUGACGCUGAGGAGCGAAAGCAUGGGGAGCGAACAGG
rnacentral:rRNA from 1 species